rnacentral:rRNA from 1 species
UCGGGUUGUAAAGCACUUUUGUCCGGAACGAAACGGUUGGGGCUAAUAUCCUCGACUAAUGACGGUACCGGAAGAAUAAGCACCGGCUAACUACGUGCCAGCAGCCGCGGUAAUACGUAGGGUGCGAGCGUUAAUCGGAAUUACUGGGCGUAAAGCGUGCGCAGGCGGGUUUGUUAAGACAGAUGUGAAAUCCCCGGGCUUAACCUGGGAAACUGCAUUUGUGACUGGCAAGCUAGAGUAUGGCAGAGGGGGGGUAGAAUUCCACGUGUAGCAGUGAAAUGCGUAGAGAUGUGGAGGAAUACCGAUGGCGAAGGCAGCCCCUGGGCCAAUACUGACGCUCAUGCACGAAAGCGUGGGGAGCAAACAGGAUUAGAUACCCUGGUAGUCCACGCCCUAAACGAUGUCAACUAGUUGUUGGGGAUUCAUUUCCUUAGUAACGUAGCUAACGCGUGAAGUUGACCGCCUGGGGAGUACGGUCGCAAGAUUAAAACUCAAAGGAAUUGACGGGGACCCGCACAAGCGGUGGAUGAUGUGGAUUAAUUCGAUGCAACGCGAAAAACCUUACCUACCCUUGACAUGGUCGGAACCCUGCUG